AAGCAAGGAACUGAAAAUGCCUAGAAGAGUCAUAAGACUCCAUAAACAUAAAGGUUUAGUCCUAACCUUCCUAUUGAUUAUUAACAGAAUUACACAUGCAAGUCUCCACAUACCAGUGAAAAUGCCCUCUAAAUC